CCUGGGAAAAAUGGGCCGCCUCCUCAAAUGGGUGUUUUCCAAGUGGCUUCCCGCUCACUCUGGGUUCCCAGCCCUUUUCAUUCAUUCAGACGUUCGUUGGACGCCUCCUUUAUGCUAACGUCGGCGCUAGGGUGGAGAUAAUUCUGAAGCCUCACUAAGCCUUAGAGGUUUAACCACAGUGGACAACGUGCAUUUGGUGCAGGGGAUACCCACACCCAAACGGCUAGGAUUGCCUCCUGCCUCCUCCACAUCGGAUCCAGCUUCCUGCUGAUGCGGACUCUGAGAGGUGACACCAGCACAACUGGAUGCACCAAGAAGCAAAAGAGAAGAGAGCAGAAUUAAUGAUGCCCUGGGUGAAGGAAGAAGAGUGGCAGGAGACAGCCUUGAGGGAAGCUGACUUAUU